AUGGAGACCCGCUUCCUGUUCUGCAGACAGUGCGUGGGUCCCGUGUGUCGGCCCCCACAGGGCAUGGAGACCCGCUCCCUGUUUGAAGACAGUGCCUGGGUCCCGUGUGUCGGCCCCUGCCUCUUCGGCUCUUGCAGAAUUUAUGGACUGGAGCGAGCGCUGCUGAACUGUCGACAGCUUCAGCGCGAAGCGGUGCAGCAGCACGGGCCGUACUCGGGCCCUGGGCCCCUGUGCACUGCCGCAAGCGGAGGUUCUCCGUUCCCUGGGCGAGAGCGCAGUGGGGCUGCGCACGUGGCACGCCCAGGUGAGGUGAUAAGCACGUAUGAGGAGGUGCCCAGGACCCUCGGGACCGUCCUGCCGGGCUCCAGUGGGCUCUCCAGAGCCAGGAGGGACCGUCACGGCCCGGGAAGCCUGGGCUGGAACCAGGCUCAGCUGCAUGCGGGCGGGGGUAGGGGCCGGUCCGGGCGUGGGGCGGGGCGAGUCCGGGUGUGUGUAGGGGGCGUUGAGGAUGGAAGAGGAGGGCGAGGGUGCGUCCCGGCCCCACCCCUGAGGCUGUGCGGUCACGGGGAGCGUGGUCAGGCGCGGAAAGCCCUCGCCUGGCGCUGUCCGUCUGCUGGUCAGCGCAGAGCCAGAGCCGGGGGCUGGGGUGGGGACGGCGAGGACAGGUGCGGCCGAGGGCUGGGCGAGAGCAGCAGGUGCAGCAGGGGUGGGGGUCAGGGCAGCAGCUGUAGGAGUGGCCUUGACCCAUCCCCCCCCAGCUGCCCCUUCACUGGAAGCCCGCGGGCCAUCGCCGGGUGGAAGCGCGCAGGCGCAGAACGCGCGCCUGAGCCGUGCGGUGCGGUGCGGUGCGGAAGCAGCCGCGAUGCCCUCGGGUCGCGGGCCACUGGCGAGCUUUUGGGAGCGCCGAGGGCUGCAGCUGCUGCAUCAAGUGCGGGUCAAAGAAGAACGAAUCGUGGAGCUCGAGACCGAAAAUGCUGCUCUCCACCUGAGGCUGGCCGAGGUAGGCUCGCCGGGGGCUGCGGUGGGUCGGCGGCGUCCGGGGCGCCCUGGCUUGGUGCCCGUGUGGAAGGAGGAGCUACAGGUGAUGCUGCCUUGGCCCUGGCCUCCGGCAGUGGGUGGGAGGGGCUGCACCUGGCGUUCAGUGCACGUCUUUCCGGCACAGGCAGGUCCACGUUCCCGAUCUCAGCGUCCGCUGGCUCCCAGAGUUCUGAGCGUGUGAGGGCCUGUGCUUCCCCACACGGCUGUCGUGCACCGUGUCCGGUGUACGGCCCCAGGCCCGGCCACGCUGGAGCCCUGGCGCUGUGACAGCUCCCGGGCCCAGGGACUUGGGCAGACCCGCAUCUCGUGGAUGUGGAGGGUUGGGUGUGGGGUGUGGGGUGAGCCCUCCUGGGGUCCGUGGGUGCCCUCCAGGGGUCAGUGGGGUGAGCCCUCCAGGGGUCAGUGGGUGCCCUCCAAGGGUCCGUGGGUGCCCUCCUGGGGUCCGUGGGUGCCCUCCAGGGGUCCAUGGGUGAGCCCUCCAGGGGUCAGUGGGUGCCCUCCAGGGGUCUGUGGGGUGAGCCCUCCUGGGGUCCAUGGGUGCCCUCCAGGGAUCCAUGGGUUGAGCCCUCCAGGGGCUCAGUGGGGUGCCCUCCAGGGGUCCAUGGGGUGCCCUGCAGGGGCUCAGUGGAGUGCCCUCCAGGGGUCCAUGGGGUGAGCCCUCCAGGGGUCAGUGGAUGCCCUCCAGGGGUCCAUGGGGUGAGCCCUCCAGGGGUCUGUGGGUGCCCUCCAGGGGUCAGUGGGUGCCCUCCAG
rnacentral:lncRNA from 1 species